rnacentral:ncRNA from 2 species
GUAAAGUGAAAGUGUGCAGGUGCAAGGUCUCGGCCUUGUUAAACGGGAAGCCGGUGAGAUUCCGGCACUGACUCGCAGCGGUGAUGGGAACGAACAACGCACGGCCUCGGGCCACGCACUGUUCUCGAAGAGAAUGGGAAGCGGCGUUCAGUAGGUAGCCCAAAGUCCGAAGACCGGCCCGCCGCCACCACCGCGG